AGUCGCAUCGUGACCGCGCGUCGCGACACACGCGCGCUGUUCCGUUACUCGCUGACACCGCUCGAUCGCCAUGGUGUCCGUGGGCGCGUGGAGGCGACGCGCCCCCGACGACUGCGAGGAGCGCUCCGAACCCGGCACCUCCAGCUCGGGAGUGCCGCGCGCGCCGCCCAACUGUGCCCGCUGCCGCAACCACCGGCUCAAGGUCGAACUGAAGGGACACAAACGAUACUGCAAGUACCGGUACUGCACGUGCGAGAAGUGCCGGCUGACCGCCGACAGACAGCGGGUGAUGGCGCUCCAGACGGCUCUGAGACGUGCCCAGGCGCAGGACGAGGCGCGAGCGCGUUCCAUGGAGGCCGGCAUACACCCGACAGGAGUUGAAUUGGAGCGGCCCGAGCCGCCCGUGGUCAAGGCACCCAGAAGCCCGGUGGUCCCGCCGCCUCCGCCGAGGUCCCUCGGCUCAGCCAGCUGUGACUCCGUGCCAGGGUCCCCCGGGGUGUCGCCGUACGCGCCGCCGCCGCCGCCGCCGUCGUCGUCGGCGCCCCCGCCGCCCAACAUGCCGCCGCUGCUGCCACCACAGCAACCCGCGGUGUCCCUAGAAACCCUGGUGGAAAACUGUCACAAACUCCUAGAGAAGUUCCACUAUUCCUGGGAGAUGAUGCCCCUCGUGCUGGUCAUCCUGAAUUACGCGGGCAGCGACCUGGACGAAGCCUCGAGGAAGAUUGAUGAAGGGAAGAUGAUCAUCAACGAGUACGCGCGGAAGCACAACCUCAACAUCUUCGACGGCUUAGAGCUGAGGAACUCGACUCGCCAGUACGGACUUUAAUAUGACCGGACGAAGGUGGCGAAAUUUGCAAUAUAAUUUAAAGUGACAGUGUUGUGAUAGUGUGUGAUGUCGAUGUUAUUUUAUUUUAAUUUUCUUUUUUGUAGGAAAAUGCUGCAAAGCGAAAUUAAUAAUAUAAGUGGUGUACUAUCAUCGUCGAUGAAGUUGUUUUGCGAAUGAUACUUAGUUUUACCAGUGUGUGUUGUGAGGACGCGUGCUGUGCGUCGCUGUGUGUUGCGAACUCAGAAGAAUUGUGAACGGCUAGCUACAAAGGACUUUUAGCCCACUGGGUGGUGCACCAGUGGCGGCUGUACGAGCGGUCGCUGUGCUCGCUGCUGGAGCUGCAGGCGCGCAAGGGCUCCUCGUACUCCAUGUGCUGCUCGCCGCGGUACGUGCUCGCUCCCGAGUAUGCGCCGCACGUCCUGCCGCUGCCGCUCACGACGCGCCCGUCACCGCCGCCCGCGCACUUGUAGCGGCGCGACCCGCCGCCUGGCCAGACGGCGCCCGAGUCAUCAGAGCCUCCGUCGGCCUCGGCGAGCGGUAGCAGUUCGUAAGCGGGUCCAUAAGGCCCUUACUAUUCUUACUAUACAGUGUGAUAGACACAGUGCUAUGUGCUAACGCUACA